CUACGUUGGAAAUUGUUACAAAUUAAAAGUCACCACAUUUCCCACAGUUCAUUGAUGAUUUAGUACGUAGCUUAUGUGUGAAUUUAUCUACCACGGGCAUUAAUAAGGUGAAAAUGAAUGUAGAGGAUGGAGUUUGGACACGGAAAAGUUUAAAAUUGAGAAACACAAAGCAAAAAAACUUCGAAACAAGGGCAACAUUAAAGUCUCACUGCGUACAGAAAGUAAUGAUAUUGAUGGCUUUCAGAAAUACGGCCAUGCUACUAAUGACUAAGAUGACUUCAUGUAAAUACUGUUUUGACAUGCGCAUACCAUAAGGCAUAAAAAUUGUUUGCUUAAUGAUUUUGGUAGAAAAUUAAGAUAGAAUACAUAAAAAUAGAUCGUUAUUAUUUAUAUCUAAAUCUGUACACUUAAAAAUUGUGGAUAACACAUUUCUAACAUG